ACGGGUGAGUAACACGUGACUACCUACCCUCGAGUGGGGAAUAACCUCGGGAAACCGGGGCUAAUACCGCAUAACAUCUACGGAUCAAAUGCGUAAGCAGCUUGAGGAGGGGGUCGCGGCCGAUUAGCUAGUUGGUGAGGUAAUGGCUCACCAAGGCAAUGAUCGGUAGCCGGCCUGAGAGGGCGCACGGCCACACUGGAACUGAAACACGGUCCAGACUCCUACGGGAGGCAGCAGUGGGGAAUUUUGCGCAAUGGGGGAAACCCUGACGCAGCAACGCCGCGUGGAGGAUGAAGCCCCUUGGGGUGUAAACUCCUUUCGAUCGGGACGAUUAUGACGGUACCGGAUGAAGAAGCACCGGCUAACUCUGUGCCAGCAGCCGCGG
rnacentral:rRNA from 1 species